AAAAGCCAAUGCAUGCUUUUACAGUAUGAAAAUUGGUGAUUUAUAAUAACUUAGCAAAUCGCAAAGUGAAAACAGGCGAUAAAUCAUUCAAGUUUCUGACCUAUCAGCUUUCGACGGUAUGGUAUUGGCUUACCGUGGCAGUGACGGUUAACGGGGGAUUAGGGUUCGAUUCCGGAGAGGGAGCCUGAGAAACGGCUACCACAUCUAAGGAAGGCAGCAGGCGCGCAAAUUACCCAAUUCUAACAGUUUGAGAGAGGUAGUAACAAGAAAUAACAAUACAAGGCAGUUAAAAUGCUUUGUAAUUGGAAUGAUAGAAAUUUAAACCCUUUUUAAAGUAUCAAUUGGAGGGCAAGUCUGGUGCCAGCAGCCGCGGUAAUUCCAGCUCCAAUAGCGUAUAUUAAAAUUGUUGCAGUUAAAAAGCUCGUAGUUGAAGUUCUGCUAAAAGUAACCGGUCUGCUUUGAAUAAAAGUGGUAUCUUGGUAUGUAUUUAGCAAUGAUGUCCUUUGAAGUGUUUUUUACUUUAUUGUAAUAAAGCAUAUUCA
rnacentral:rRNA from 1 species